rnacentral:rRNA from 1 species
AACGUAGGACGCAAGCGUUAUCCGGAGUUACUGGGCGUAAAGCGCGGGCAGGCGGUCUUGCCAGUCUGAUGUGAAAUCUCUCAGCUCAACUGGGAGCAGCCAUUGGAAACUACAAGACUGGAGUCUGACAGAGGUAGGCGGAAUUCCGGGUGGAGUGGUGAAAUGCGUAGAGAUCCGGAGGAACACCAGAGGCGAAGGCGGCCUACUGGGCAGUUUAGCUGACACUGAGGCGCGACAGCGUGGGGAGCAAACAGG